rnacentral:rRNA from 1 species
AAUGAACGCUGGCGGCGUGCUUAACACAUGCAAGUCGCACGAGAACGUUUCAGCUUGCUGAGACUAGUACAGUGGCGCACGGGUGAGUAACGCGUGGGUAAUCUACCUCCGAAUUGGGGAUAACAUUGCGAAAGCGGUGCUAAUACCGAAUAAUAUCCCCGGGACCCCGGUCUUGGUGAUCAAAGGUGGCCUCUACAUGUAAGCUACCGUUGGGAGAUGAGCCCGCGUACCAUUAGCUAGUUGGUAGGGUAAUGGCCUACCAAGGCUUCGAUGGUUAGCUGGUCUGAGAGGAUGAUCAGCCACACUGGAACUGACACACGGUCCAGACUCCUACGGGAGGCAGCAGUGAGGAAUUUUGCGCAAUGGGGGAAACCCUGACGCAGCAACGCCGCGUGAGUGAUGAAGGCCUUCGGGUCGUAAAGCUCUGUCAAGUGGGAAGAACCUGCUUUGUGAUAAUACCACGAGGCACUGACGGUACCACUGAAGGAAGCACCGGCUAACUCCGUGCCAGCAGCCGCAGUAAUAC